UACGUAUGGUGCAAGCGUUGUUCGGAAUCACUGGGCAUAAAGAGCACGUAGGCGGUCUGGUAAGUCUGAUGUGAAAUCCCCCGGCUCAACCGAGGAACUGCAUCGGAUACUGCUGGGCUAGAGUGCAGGGGGGGAGAGUGGAAUUCCUGGUGUAGCGGUGAAAUGCGUAGAUAUCAGGAGGAACGCCGGUGGCGAAAGCGACUCUCUGGUCUUUAACUGACGCUGAGGUGCGAAAGCCAGGGGAUCAAACGGG
rnacentral:misc_RNA from 1 species